rnacentral:rRNA from 1 species
CCGUAGGUGAACCUGCGGAAGGAUCAUUACCGAGUUAGGGUCUUAUAGGCCCGACCUCCAACCCUUUGUUUAUUACACCAUGUUGCUUUGGUGGACCCGCCUUUUGGGGCCGCCGGGGGUUUACACGCCCCUGGUCAGUGUCUGCCAGUAGCCUUAUUAAAUUCUUUUAUAAUUAUGUUGUCUGAGUAUAAAUAUAAAUCGUUAAAACUUUCAACAACGGGUCUCUUGGUUCUGGCAUCGAUGAAGAACGCAGCGAAAUGCGAUAAGUAAUGUGAAUUGCAGAAUUCAGUGAAUCAUCGAAUCUUUGAACGCACAUUGCGCCCCUUGGUAUUCCGAGGGGCAUGCCUGUCCGAGCGUCAUUUCAACCCUCAAGCACAGCUUGGUCUUGGGCUUCGCUGCUAACCCAGCGGGUCUUAAAACUAGUGGCGGUGCCGUCGGGCCCUGAGCGCAGUAAUUCUUCUCGCUAUAGGGUCCCGGUGGAUACUGGCCAUCAACCCCCAAUUUUCUAUGGUUGACCUCGGAUCAGGUAGGGAUACCCGCUGAACUUAAGCAUAUCAAUAAGCGGAGGA